rnacentral:lncRNA from 1 species
CAUGCAUGGGGUUUCAUACAUACAUAUAUUUUUACUUUGUCUUUUCGUAGCAUGUUAUGCACUUUUUUGUUACGUGAAGAAAUAAAUAAUAUUCCGUUUAUGUACCUUUUUCACUAAUAUAUACUCUCUUUCAUUAGUUCAAAAAUGAAACGGGUUUCAUUAGUUGACCACCGGCCGAUCGACUCGGAGGCUGAUGUAAGCCCAAGCGUCCUAUCCUCCGGGACGAAUAACCUGGGCUAGAGCAUGCAAGUCGUGUCAGUCAGGGAGAGUACAACGUUACAGUUACAUACCAGUGCAGUGCCGCAUGCAACAUGCAUUGCAUGGUACGUACCAUCUCGGUUGUUGGUUGGUUGGUCCAAACAUUGCCCAGUUUCAAAGGAAAGAGACCAUCCAGGCAGGACUCAGGAGCAUGAGCUGAGCAGCAGGAGGAACGGGCGAGUAGUGGUUGGUUGCCUUUGUUGGGUUAGUUAGUUGCGUUGCCCGGCCUCCGUCCCCCAUCUGCAC